GUCGAGCGGAUGAGUGGAGCUUGCUCCAUGAUUCAGCGGCGGACGGGUGAGUAAUGCCUAGGAAUCUGCCUGGUAGUGGGGGACAACGUUUCGAAAGGAACGCUAAUACCGCAUACGUCCUACGGGAGAAAGUGGGGGAUCUUCGGACCUCACGCUAUCAGAUGAGCCUAGGUCGGAUUAGCUAGUUGGUGAGGUAAAGGCUCACCAAGGCGACGAUCCGUAACUGGUCUGAGAGGAUGAUCAGUCACACUGGAACUGAGACACGGUCCAGACUCCUACGGGAGGCAGCAGUGGGGAAUAUUGGACAAUGGGCGAAAGCCUGAUCCAGCCAUGCCGCGUGUGUGAAGAAGGUCUUCGGAUUGUAAAGCACUUUAAGUUGGGAGGAAGGGCAGUAAGUUAAUACCUUGCUGUUUUGACGUUACCAACAGAAUAAGCACCGGCUAACUUCGUGCCAGCAGCCGCGGUAAUACGAAGGGUGCAAGCGUUAAUCGGAAUUACUGGGCGUAAAGCGCGCGUAGGUGGUUCGUUAAGUUGGAUGUGAAGCCCCGGCUCACCUGGAACUGCAUCCAACUGCGAGCUAGAGUAUGGCAGAGGGUGUGAUUACUGUGUAGCGUGAAUGCGUAGAUAUAGGA
rnacentral:rRNA from 1 species